AGGCAGCCUCUUUGCAAGUUGUAAUGGUGAAGAAGGUGUUAAACUGCUCGUAAAUUAAUGUCUUUUGCUCUUCAGACUUGCUGAGACUGUCUCUGAAGCUGGUCUAGUAAGCUCAAGUACAUU